GAUGAACGCUGGCGGCGUGCCUAAUACAUGCAAGUCGAGCGAACAGACGAGGAGCUUGCUCCUCUGACGUUAGCGGCGGACGGGUGAGUAACACGUGGAUAACCUACCUAUAAGACUGGGAUAACUUCGGGAAACCGGAGCUAAUACCGGAUAACAUGUUGAACCGCAUGGUUCAACAGUGAAAGACGGUCUUGCUGUCACUUAUAGAUGGAUCCGCGCCGCAUUAGCUAGUUGGUAAGGUAACGGCUUACCAAGGCAACGAUGCGUAGCCGACCUGAGAGGGUGGUCGGCCCAACGGGAACUGAGACACGGUCCAGGCGCCUACGGGACGGCGCAGUAGGGAAUCUUCCGCAAUGGGCGAAAUCCUGACGGAGCAACGCCGCGUGAGUGAAGAAGGUCUUCGGAUCGUAAAGCUCUGUUAUUAGGGAAGAACAAAUGUGUAAGUAACUAUGCACGUCUUGACGGUACCUAAUCAGAAAGCCACGGCUAACUACGUG
rnacentral:rRNA from 1 species